rnacentral:rRNA from 1 species
CAGUAGCCGCGGUAAUACGUAGGUGGCAAGCGUUGUCCGGAAUUAUUGGGCGUAAAGGGCUCGCAGGCGGUUUCUUAAGUCUGAUGUGAAAGCCCCCGGCUCAACCGGGGAGGGUCAUUGGAAACUGGGAGACUUGAGUGCGGAAGAGGAGAGUGGAAUUCCACGUGUAGCGGUGAAAUGCGUAGAGAUGUGGAGGAACACCAGUGGCGAAGGCGACUCUCUGGUCUGUAACUGACGCUGAGGAGCGAAAGCGUGGGGAGCGAACAGGAUUAGAUACCCCCGUAGUCCCUGUCUCUUAUAC